GACACACAGGUUCACAUUCUCACAACCAAAACGAACAUGGUGACAAUGGAACCACUGGAACUGAUGGGACAACAGAUGAAAAAAAACAUGAAAGGAGCCGACUUCCUGAUUUUACUCGACUGUCGAUCACGUGUCUGGGUUUGUCGAUCAUGCUCAUUCUCUCAUAUGCUGUCAUCACCCUCCUUCACAAACUGAAGAUACACAGGACUGUCUCUCAACAGGAUGUGGUAGAACACCAGCCCAAGGUCUCUGGUAUGCACGAGAAGAAAUUAGGCAGCUGGCACAGAAGCUACAACGAGAAGGUCAACUCUAUCUACAUGUGCAUGCCUGACAAAUUACCAGCACAGGGAGCAGGACAUGACCUUUGACCUAGAAGCUCUCUAUCUUUGUGCGUCCCAAAAGCCUCCACACUUGUACUUUUUGAUCACUUCAUAUAGUGUCUAAAUGUGUUUGCUAUAGCCUGUUAAUUGGAAUGCUGUAUAAGGUCCACCUUUUGGCAUCGCCUAUGUUCACCACACUGAGACUGUGCCAUAUAAAAACACCCUUUGGAUAAUUGUAGAGGAAUGCACACCUGACUGUAAGUCACUUUGGAUAAAUGCUGUGGAUAAAAGCGUAUGCUAAAUGGCAUAUAUUAUUAUUAUUAUUCUAUUACGAAACGCUCAUUACGUGGUCAUAUAAAGGUACAGGGCUCAUCAUGUAAUCAUAUAAACAAACAAUGCCUUAUACCUUACACACCAAGCCAUACUGCCCACUUAACAUGGAAGCCAGCAGCACCAAUGUUUUGGAGGAAACACCAUACAGCUGGCAACCGAAGUCAGCAUGCAUGCACCCGGCCACCACACUGGGCCAAUUGUGCCCUGCUUCAUGUGUCUCCCGGUCGUGGCUGGCUGUGACACAGCACGGUAUCAAACUCGGAUCUGUAGUGACGCCUCUAGCACUGCAGUGCAGUGCCUUAGACUGCUACACUACUCAGGAGGCACAUGCCAGUUACUUGACAAGACCUUUAAGAAAUAAAAAAUCUUUGGACAAAAAACAGUUAGAUUGUGAGCGGAAGGCCAACAUAAAACAUGAUUAUAAAUAAUACAAGGUAGGCUAAAUUGAUUCAUAGAACAUACACAAACCUGUCUCAGAGCAUUUCGUAUCAUUCUUUACGUAAAUCCGAUACACCACAUUUAGUAUGACAUGUUACGUUUCGUAUGGUGUGUUUUCAUUUGUGGAUGUCCAUCAUCCAA